ensembl:lncRNA
AGCAUGUUGUUAUAAGCUAACUUGUGGUAAUCUUGUGUCUAAGGUCAACAGCAGCAAUGUUACCAGCGGGAUGGUCCAGAAUGCAGCCGUCCUGCUGUGUAAUCUCAGUGGAAACAAUGUCUUGGAUCUGCAACCACUAUAUCAGCAAGGGAUUAUUGAGGUGGUAGUGAGUACCUUCUCAGAAGCUGCCCUAGUUCACCUGGAUGCUGGGAGGAAGGUCAGCCAUCUUGUGUUGGCCCUUCUGGAGCUGCUUCACAACAUCUUAAAGCAAACAUCAGGUGUUGUCCGCUCAGCACUUCAGAGCCAGAGGCUAUCUUGUCCAGCAGCAGAGACGGAGGCAGCAGAGAAGCUGCUCCUAGCCAACAGACCCC